rnacentral:rRNA from 2 species
CGUUGAUAGGCAGGGUGUGUAAGCGUUGUGAGGCGUUGAGCUAACCUGUACUAAUUGCCCGUGAGGCUUAACCAUACAACACCCAAAGGGUUUUG